GACGAACGCUGGCGGCGUGCCUAACACAUGCAAGUCGAACGGGGUAAUGACUUCGGUUAUUACUUAGUGGCGAACGGGUGAGUAACGCGUGAGGAACCUGCCUUUCAGUGGGGGACAACAGUUGGAAACGACUGCUAAUACCGCAUAAUGUGCUUAGGGGGCGUCCCCUGAGUACCAAAGCUUUAUGUGCUGAAAGAUGGUCUCGCGUCUGAUUAGCUAGUUGGUGAGGUAACGGCUCACCAAGGCGACGAUCAGUAGCCGGUCUGAGAGGAUGAACGGCCACAUUGGGACUGAGAUACGGCCCAGACUCCUACGGGAGGCAGCAGUGGGGGAUAUUGCACAAUGGGGGAAACCCUGAUGCAGCAACGCCGCGUGAAGGAAGAAGGUCUUCGGAUUGUAAACUUCUGUUUUUAGUGAAGAACAAAUGACGGUAGCUAAAGAGGAAGCCACGGCUAACUACGU
rnacentral:rRNA from 1 species